AGUACGAGUUACUACAGCAAUAUCGCUUAAGUCAGUUGUUUUAUUUUUUCUGCUAAGUAGAAAGGCUUAAACAGAAUGAAGAAAAUAAUCUAAAAGGCAGCAAUAUAUUAUCACAUUAUUAUAAAUGUUUUAAGGAUUCAAGCAAAUAUUAAUAAUCAUAAAUUUAUCCAGUUACAGACGUCAGGACAAGGAUGAAAUCAAAACCUAUUUUCAUGAAAUGAAAAAUGGCUUCAAAAAUGAAAUCUCCUGAAUCUAAGAGAGAGUUAUUGGAAUUUAAAAAGACAAAUAAAAGAAUUUGUUAUAUCAAUUGCUUAGUAAGAAGUGUUAUGUCAUUGAUUCAUUUUUAGAAUAUUUAGACAAGCGAGAUGUUCUAUUUCUACAGCUAAUAUUGGAAUAAAUAGCGACAAAUCUAUGAAAGGAUUUUUAUCAAUUUUUACAAGGUAUAAUGGAUAUUUUGAUUAAAAAAUAUAAAAGAAAUAGAAUACACAUUCAUGACUUGCCAACUAAUUCAAAUAUCUGUGGCGAUAUUAAUUCUAAAAUGUAAAAACUCUUCUUUUACUCGAUCCAAUCAUUUUAUAUUAAUAGUAUUGGUACAGAAAGUUCUGUCUUCAUUGUCAAAAUUAAUUAAGAGUUACUCCGAUACUUUCUACGUCUAUUGACAAGGUCACCAUAAAUGCGGUAAAGUGGUACGACAAUAAGGCCGUUCAUUUGAUGAGCACGUUUUGCGAAGUUGAACCAGUAGACAUAGUGAAAAGGUGGGACAAAAAAAUAAACAGAACGAUCGAUGUAUAACGAUCAAAUAUAGUGAAAACAUACAACUAACACGUGGGUGGAGUAGAUUUGGUUGAUUCGUUGAUAGCGUUGUAUCGAAUUUAAGAAUAUAUAAGAAUAAAAAUUCGAUCAAAAAAGUGGUACCAUUGCAUUAUGUUUUACCUCUUAGAUUUUACGGUGGUCAAUGCUUGGCUCUUAUAUAAGCGAGAUUGCUCAUCGCAUUCUGUAAGCCCCGGUCGUCAGUAUAGUUUAUUGAAAUUUAAAACUGACAUUGCAUCUUGUUUAUGUCAGGAACACAAAGGAACCCAGUAAAAAAGGGGGAGUCCUACUUCAAAUGAGGUAUAUAAAAAAUUGCAAAAUAAACGAAGAAAAAGACCAAAUAUAACGCUACCUGUAGAAGACGUGCGAAAAGAUGAAGUGGUACAUUGGCCAAUUUUUUCGGAUAACAGAGGACGUUGCAGUAUGUAAGACCGGAUGUAAAGGAGUUCCGAAAAUUAAAUGUUCCAAAUGUAAUAUUUAUUUAUGUUUAACGCCAAGUGCCAACUGUUGUGUGGAAUUCCACGCUUAAGCUUUCAAACACAAAAUUGCGAACAUUAUAGGCCGUUGUGACCUGAAAGUCACAUAGUGAAUAUACUGCAAUAAAAUUGUUUAAACAGAAA